rnacentral:rRNA from 1 species
GUGCCAGCCGCCGCGGUAAUACAGAGGUCCCAAGCGUUGUUCGGAUUCAUUGGGCGUAAAGGGUGCGUAGGUGGCGUGGUAAGUCGGGUGUGAAAUUUCGAAGCUUAACUUCGAAACUGCAUUCGAUACUGCCGCGCUUGAGGACUGGAGAGGAGACUGGAAUUUACGGUGUAGCAGUGAAAUGCGUAGAGAUCGUAAGGAAGACCAGUGGCGAAGGCGGGUCUCUGGACAGUUCCUGACACUGAGGCACGAAGGCCAGGGGAGCAAACGGGAUUAGAUACCCCGGUAGUCCUGGCAGUAAACGGUGCACGUUUGGUGUGGGAGGAUUCGACCCCUUCCGUGCCGGAGCUAACGCGUUAAACGUGCCGCCUGGGGAGUACGGUCGCAAGAUUAAA